UACAGAGGGUGCGAGCGUUGUCCGGAAUCACUGGGCGUAAAGGGCGCGUAGGUGGCGCCCCAAGUCGAUGGUGAAAGCUCGCCGCUCAACGGCGAGUCGGCCACCGAUACUGGGGGGCUUGAGCACUGUAGAGGCAGAUGGAAUUCCGGGUGUAGCGGUGGAAUGCGUAGAGAUCCGGAAGAACACCGGUGGCGAAGGCGGGUCUCUGGGCCGAUACUGACGCUGAGGAGCGAAAGCGUGGGGAGCAAACAGG
rnacentral:rRNA from 1 species